rnacentral:rRNA from 1 species
GCAAGUCGAACGAGCAAGAGAGAGCUUGCUUUCUCGAGCGAGUGGCGAACGGGUGAGUAACGCGUGAGGAACCUGCCUCAAAGAGGGGGACAACAGUUGGAAACGACUGCUAAUACCGCAUAAGCCCACGGGUCGGCAUCGACCAGAGGGAAAAGGAGUGAUCCGCUUUGAGAUGGCCUCGCGUCCGAUUAGCUAGUUGGUGAGGUAACGGCCCACCAAGGCGACGAUCGGUAGCCGGACUGAGAGGUUGAACGGCCACAUUGGGACUGAGACACGGCCCAGACUCCUACGGGAGGCAGCAGUGGGGAAUAUUGCACAAUGGGGGAAACCCUGAUGCAGCGACGCCGCGUGGAGGAAGAAGGUCUUCGGAUUGUAAACUCCUGUUGUUGGGGAAGAUAAUGACGGUACCCAACAAGGAAGUGACGGCUAACUACGUGCCAGCAGCCGCGGUAAAACGUAGGUCACAAGCGUUGUCCGGAAUUACUGGGUGUAAAGGGAGCGCAGGCGGGAAGACAAGUUGGAAGUGAAAUCCAUGGGCUCAACCCAUGAACUGCUUUCAAAACUGUUUUUCUUGAGUAGUGCAGAGGUAGGCGGAAUUCCCGGUGUAGCGGUGGAAUGCGUAGAUAUCGGGAGGAACACCAGUGGCGAAGGCGGCCUACUGGGCACCAACUGACGCUGAGGCUCGAAAGUGUGGGUAGCAAACAGGAUUAGAUACCCUGGUAGUCCACACCGUAAACGAUGAUUACUAGGUGUUGGAGGAUUGACCCCUUCAGUGCCGCAGUUAACACAAUAAGUAAUCCACCUGGGGAGUACGACCGCAAGG